rnacentral:sRNA from 1 species
UUCUGCUGGCCCUGUCCGGGCAUAACAGAAGGCUCGCACUCUUCUCUUCUGGUCACACCUCACUAUGUCCCCUCAGCUCCUAUCUCUUUAUGACCUGGUUUUUCCCAGGUUAUGAUUGUAGAGCGAGGAUUAUUAUAAUAUUGGGAUAAAGAGUAAUUACUACAAACUAAUGAUUAAUGAUAUUCAUAUAUCUCUAAGAUCUAUAUCUGGUAUAACUAUUCUUGUUUUAUAUUGUAUUAUACUGGAACAGCUCGUGUCCUCCGUCUCUUGCCUCGGCGCCUGGGUGGCUUGCCGCCCACACUUCAGGGGCCCAGACUUACACCCUGACCGUCCCACCUUCUGUCCUUGUCCUGGACCUCAGGUUCCCAGCGUCCCGAGCCCAGCACUGUCUCUUCAGUGCCCUGAUUUCUCACCCAGAGGUUUCACCCUCCUUCAUCUCACGGGCCCAGAGCCCUGUCUCACUCACCCCACCUGUCUUAGACCCCAGCUCCCAGCCUGACAAGCUUUCCACUCACAGGGGAGAGGCUACUGCAGAACCUGACGGUUCAGGCUGAGUCGCCCUUUGGGGUUGGGGCCCUCACGCACCUGCUGCUCUCUGGGAGCCCUGAGGACCGAGUGGCCUGCGCGCUGACCCUGCCCUUCAUCUGCCGGAAGCCCUCUCUGUGGCGCCGGCUGCUUCUGGAGCAGGGUGGCCUCCGGCUCCUCCUUGCGGCGCUGACCCGG